GCUGGGUGUGGUAAUGCACAUCUGCAACCCCAGUUACUUGGGAGGCUGAGGCAGAAGGAUUGCAAGUUCAAGGGUAGCCUCAGCAAUUUAGCCAGAUCCUGUCUCAA
rnacentral:sRNA from 1 species